rnacentral:rRNA from 1 species
GAUGAACGCUAGCGGCAGGCCUAAUACAUGCAAGUCGGACGGGAUUCAGGAGCUUGCUUCUGAUGAGAGUGGCGCACGGGUGCGUAACACGUAUGUAACCUACCUUUAUCAGGGGGAUAGCCUCUCGAAAGAGAGAUUAAGCCCGCAUAAAAUCACAGCACAGCAUUGUGUAAUGAUCAAAUAUUUAUAGGAUAAAGAUGGGCAUGCGGAACAUUAGCUAGAUGGCGGGGUAACGGCCCACCAUGGCGACGAUGUUUAGGGGAUCUGAGAGGAUGGCCCCCCACACUGGUGCUGAGACACGGACCAGACUCCUACGGGUGGCAGCAGUAAGGAAUAUUGGUCAAUGGGCGGAAGCCUGAACCAGCCAUGCCGCGUGCAGGAAGACGGCCCUACGGGUUGUAAACUGCUUUUAUACGGGAAUAAACCCAGAUACGUGUAUCUGGCUGAAUGUACUGUAAGAAUAAGGAUCGGCUAACUCCGUG